AGAUACACAUCGUAAAAGCAGUUCCCAUUCACUGACCAGUCACAGCCUCCUUUUAAACAGUGAAUUUUAGACAGUCAAUCUGCAAUGAGUUUAUUUUACAGACGUGUUAAGUGAUGUCGUAGUGUCGGAGACAAUUAUCGUUUUGUAAUUUAUCGUAAUCAUCAAUUAGACGUCAAUCACUCGCAAAAGAAUCAUAAUUACUGACGAUUAGCGCCUUCUUUGUUCGUUAUGGAGAUGUGUGAGUUUGCUUUUUAUACGAUAUUUAAAAGUGUAGUGUAAGCUUAAUAGUUUAGCUAUUGUCUAUGUUAUUUUUUUAAUAAACUAAUUGAAGAAUUUUU
rnacentral:misc_RNA from 1 species